rnacentral:tRNA from 1 species
GGAGAGGUGGCCGAGUGGCUGAAGGCGCGCGCUUGGAAAGCGUGUAGGCGGGGAACCGUCUCGAGGGUUCGAAUCCCUCCCUCUCCGCCA